CCAGAGACAAGCUGCAUUCCUAGAAUUGCUGCCUGGGCACCCAGAGGAAGGAGGCUCGGCACCUGCCCGAGGAGAAAAGGAAAGACAAGAAAACCAAACUGCCUAUUGUCUAUUUGUAAAAAUCAAGAAACUUUAUGACACUUCUGGUGCAUUUGUGGAAGAACAGUGGAUGAAUGCACAGGAAGAGGAAGAAAUGGGGAGUUUCUGGGUUAGAGGAGUUGGAUUGAAGGGAGGGAGGAGGUCAGCAUAUGAACAGAAGCUGAGCUCCUAUUUAAAAAGACGCCAAAUUCAGUGACAUAAAAAACAAAGGAGUUUACAGUCAUGUGCCACAUAACGAUGUUUCAGUCAACAACGGACCACAUAUAUGGUGGUGAUGCCAUAAGAUUAGUACCAUACAGCCUAGGUGUGUUGUAGGCUAUACUGUCUAGGUUUGUGUGAGUACAUUCUAUGAGUUCACACGAUGAUGAAAUCACCCAGUGACACAUUUCUCAGAACAUAUCCCUGUCGUUAAGUGACCCAUGACUGUGUUUGUCUUUCAUAUCCAAGGAAAGCAUUCCCGGACAGUGGGCAGUGCUAUCCACUUCCCAGGUGCCCAAAUUCCUUCCAACUCCAGGCUCUGCCAUUCCCCAGAACUUUGCCAUUCAUUGCUUGCGUGGUGGAGGCUGAGUCAUAGCUGCAUCUGGCAAGAGAGCAUGGAGGAGACCAACUCAUACUGUUAGAGCUGCACACCAGAAAUAGCCCACGUCAGAACAUGUCCCAUUGAUUACACCGUGUGAGGACCCAGCAGAUCUUGCUGGCAUCCCUUACAGCAGCUGUAGAGAAUCUCCAAGACAGAAAGUCAGAGACAUGUCAAGCAGCUUUCAGGGUACAGCUGUGGGAAGCUGCCAGGGUAAAAGUUGGGAUCAGAGGAUGUGAGAUGAGGCCAAGAGGUAUCUGACAUGACAUUAUCCUCAGUUCUGGGCAUACAACCACACACAAGCUGUAGUUCCA
rnacentral:lncRNA from 1 species